GCAUUGGUGGUUCAGUGAUAGAGUUCUCACCUUCCAUGGGAGCUACUCAGGUUCAAUUCCUGGCUGGUGCA
rnacentral:tRNA from 1 species